CUCCUUAAAGAGGAGACUCCCGGAGUUCCUGUUGUGGCUCAGUGGUUAAUGGAUCCGACUAGGAACCAUGAGGUUGCAGGUUCGAUCCCUGGCCUUGCUCAGUGGGUGAGGGAUCUGGCGUUGUCAUGAGCGGUGGUGUAGGUCACAGACAUGGGCCAGAUGCUACAUUGCUGUGGCUGUGGUUUAGGCCAGCCGCUACAGCUCUGAUUAGAACCCUAGCCUGGGAACCUCCAUGUGCCAUGGGUGCGACCCUCAAAAGACCAAAAAAAAAAAAAACCCAAACAAUAAAAUCUUCAUGGAGUUCUCAUUGUGGUUCAGUGGUAAUGAACCCAACUAGUAUCUACAAGAAUGUGGGUUCAAUCCCUGGCUUCACUCAGUGGGUUAAGGAUCUGACGUUGCUGUGAGUUGUGGUAUAGGUCGCAGAUGCGACUCGGAGAUGGCAUUGCUGUGGCUAUGGCGUAGGCCAGUGGCUGCGGCUCCGAUCAGACUCCUAGCCUGGGAACUUCUUUUUUUUUUUUUUUGUCUUUUUAGGGCCGUGCCUGUGGUAUAUGCACGUUCCCGGGCUAGGGAUCUAAUCAGAGCUGUAGCUGCCAGCCUACACCAGAGCCACAGCAACUCGGGAUCUGAGCUGAGUCUGUGACCUAAAACCACACCUCUCAGCAAUGCCAGAUCCUUAACCCACCAAGGGAGGCCAGAGAUCGAACCCACAACUUUAUGGUUCCUAGUCCGAUUUGUUAACCACUGAGCCACAACGGGAACUCCUACCCUGGGAACUUCCAUGUGCUGCGGGUGUGGCCCUAAAAAGAGAGAGAGGAAAAAAACCAAAAAGCUUCAUGACCCCUCUCUUCAUAACUGACCUUUACUCACAGGAUCUGCUGAGAGUGAUAUCUGAGCACCCAUCCUCACCCCCCUUUGUGGGUGUGGGGUGUGUGUGUGAAGGGGAAGGCGGGGGAGUAUGUCAGGGUGUGCAUGAGAAUGGCUCCCCAGCCACAGGAGCACAGCAGCUUCCUCUGUCUGGAGGUCUGAGGUCACUGCACUGAACUGUCAUCCCAGAGCUGCUGUUGGGCAGGAAGCGGCCGGGAAGCAGCCAGCUCAAAGGGGGACAUGGUGAAUGACUCUGGUCUUUUCUUCACAGCCCAUCUCCUCUCGAGGUGGGAGAGUACACAAACCCCUAAGCCCAUUUUUUGUUUUUGUUUUUUGUCUUUUUAGGGCCAAACCCAUGGCAUACGGAGGUUCCCAGGCGAGGGGUUGAAUCAGAACUGCACUUGCCAGCCACAGCCACAGCCACUCCGGAUCUGAGCUGCGUCUGUGACCUACACCACAGCUCACAGCAACGCAGAAUACUGAGUGAGGCCAGGGAUGGAACCUGCAUCCUCAUGGGUGCCAGUCAGUUUCGUUUCCUCG
rnacentral:lncRNA from 1 species